AUUGAACGCUGGCGGCAGGCCUAACACAUGCAAGUCGAGCGGAUGAAGGGAGCUUGCUCCUGGAUUCAGCGGCGGACGGGUGAGUAAUGCCUAGGAAUCUGCCUGGUAGUGGGGGAUAACGUCCGGAAACGGGCGCUAAUACCGCAUACGUCCUGAGGGAGAAAGUGGGGGAUCUUCGGACCUCACGCUAUCAGAUGAGCCUAGGUCGGAUUAGCUAGUUGGUGGGGUAAAGGCCUACCAAGGCGACGAUCCGUAACUGGUCUGAGAGGAUGAUCAGUCACACUGGAAGUGAGACGCGGUCCAGACUACUACGGGAGGGAGCAGUGGGGAAUGUUGGACAAUGGGCGAGAGCCUGAUACAGCCAUGCCGCGUGUGUGAAGAAGGUCUUCGGAUUGUAAAGCACUUUAAGUUGGGAGAAAGGGCAGUAAGUUAAUACCUUGCUGUUUUGACGUUACCAGCAGAAGAAGCACCGGCUAACUUCGUG
rnacentral:rRNA from 1 species